GAAGCUUCGGCAGAUUCUUGUAAAUUCUUAGUGGCGGACGGGUGAGUAACGCGUGGGCAACCUGCCUCAUACUGGGGGAUAACAGCUGGAAACGACUGUUAAUACCGCAUAAGCGCACGGUAUCGCAUGAUACAGUGUGAAAAACUCCGGUGGUAUGAGAUGGGCCCGCGUCAGAUUAGCCAGUUGGCAGGGUAACGGCCUACCAAAGCGACGAUCUGUAGCCGGCCUGAGAGGGCGGACGGCCACAUUGGGACUGAGACACGGCCCAAACUCCUACGGGAGGCAGCAGUGGGGGAUAUUGCACAAUGGAGGAAACUCUGAUGCAGCGACGCCGCGUGAGUGAAGAAGUAUUUCGGUAUGUAACGCUCUAUCAGCAGGGAAGAAAGACUCGUAAGAGAGAUGACGGUACCUGACUAAGAAGCCCCGGCUAACUACGUGCCAGCAGCCGCGGUAAUACGUAGGGGGCAAGCGUUAUCCGGAUUUACUGGGUGUAAAGGGAGCGCAGACGGUCAAGCAAGUCUGAAGUGAAACCCCACGGCUCAACCGUGGGCUUGCUUUGGAAACUGUUUGACUAGAGUACUGGAGAGGUAAGCGGA
rnacentral:rRNA from 1 species